UCCGAGUUGACCCCGGCAGUCUCCUGUGAGUCCCCACCAUCCCCGAAGGGACGUGCUGGCAACACAGAACAAGGGUUGCGCUCGUUGCGGGACUUAACCCAACAUCUCACGACACGAGCUGACGACAGCCAUGCACCACCUGUCACCCGACCACAAGGGGGGCACCAUCUCUGAUGCUUUCCGGGCGAUGUCAAGCCUUGGUAAGGUUCUUCGCGUUGCAUCGAGUUAAGCAACAUGCUCCGCCGCUUGUGCGGGCCCCGUCAAUUCCUUUGAGUUUUAGCCUUGCGGCCGUACUUCCCAGGCGGGGCACUUAAUGCGUUAGCUGCGCCACUGAAGGGUAAACCCACCUACGGCUAGCAUCCAUAGUUUACGGCGUGGACUAC
rnacentral:misc_RNA from 1 species